CUGCUCUCAGUGAAAAUACUGCAAAAAGCUCCUACUUGCUCACGUGAUGAACAGACCUCUCCUGGGUGCCAUAUAAUACUAAGACAAGGUUUAGCUGAGAUCUCCAGGAAUGAAUUUUUUAAAGGCAUUAUAUAAUGACUUGGAAGCUGAAUUUGCCAUGGUAACUGUUGCAGCUAUUCUAUGUUCUUCAGUAAGAAGAAAGAACCAGGCCCAUAAAUAAAUAAAUUAACUAUUUUUGUUUU